rnacentral:rRNA from 1 species
GUGAGGAAUAUUGGUCAAUGGACGGAAGUCUGAACCAGCCAAGUAGCGUGCAGGAUGACGGCCCUAUGGGUUGUAAACUGCUUUUAUGCGGGGGUAAAGUGAGUGACGUGUCAUUCAUUGCAAGUACCGCAAGAAUAAGGACCGGCUAAUUCCGUGCCAGCAGCCGCGGUAAUACGGAAGGUCCUGGUGUUAUCCGGAUGUAGUGGGUUUAAGGGGAGCGUAGGCCGUCAGGCAAGCGUGUUGUGAAAUGUCGUGGCUCAACCAUGGACUUGCAGCGCGAACUGCCCGGCUUGAGUGCGCAGAAAGCAGGCGGAAUUUGUCGUGUAGCGGUGAAAUGCUUAGAUAUCACGAAGAACCCCGAUUGCGAAGGCAGCCUGCUGUAGCGCUACUGACGCUGAGGCUCGAAAGUGCGGGUAUCGAACAGGAUUAGAAACCCGUGUAGUCC